UUCCGCCGGUAAAAGGUGGCCGGUACCCUUCCGUGGUCAGGAGGCCCUGAGCCUCGAGUCCCGCUUGGAAGGACGGCUCUUCCGCACUUAAGGAAGCCCAGAAACUUCUGCAGUCUUUCUGCGUUGGCCUUUCCUCCCUGCGCACCAUAGUGGGUAGGAUCGUUCCUCGCCUGUUUUAGACCUAAUCCGCCUCAUCCAUGUUUUGUAAAGUGUGGUGCUGGUGAAUGUUGCUUCACCCAUUUCUUGGUUACCUCUAGAAUGCAGGAAGCUUCUCUCCUCUAAAAUGUAUCUUCGUUGAACUUGGACUUCAAAGACCCAGUCCCUGUUGUGUGUCUACCUGUUCUCUGACCUUAUUAGCUUCGCUGAGUUUUCUUGUCCUCCUACUAGGAGGGGACGCUGUUGAUGCUCUUGGCAAUUCUGAGAGAAGCCACAAGAUGGCAACAUUGCAUGCCUAUGGCUCAGCACAUCUGGUCCUGGAAAAUGGAAAG